UCUCACCAUUUUAUGCUGUUGGCUUCUAGGUUUCUAUUCCAUAUGGAAAUCCUACAGAAUUUUCAAUCUUCGAUAGUCGGGGAGUUGAGCAUCUUUUGAAGGCUGAGAACGAUCAAGGAGACAUUAGCUGUUCAAGGGAUACAAUUGUCCUAACCAUGAGACUGUUUAUUAUAAGGGCUGGUGAGAAGAAAAAAGGAAGGAGGAGAGGGUUGUUCUUCAACAAGUGAAAAGGCCAUUGUCAGCCUACCAAAAACCAUAUUUAUUAGUGAUACUUGUAUUCUUUUGUGAGUAGUUAAGCUUCUAGAUUUGAAUUUCUUUUGUUAUUUUUGGGUUAAUCGUCCUCUUAUAUUUUGUAAGUUCAGGUUAUCAUUGGCCCCAUCCCCGACC